AGUGUUCAGGAUGCAAUGAUGCAUGGUAUUGUGGACAGUCGUGUCAGCUUAAUGACCGGAGUAGUCACAAAAAGCUUUGUCAAAAACGUAUUAAAGGUGUUAAAGAUGCUGCGAAAAAACAGCGUGACUACUACGAGAAGCGAUCAGGUGGACCAAUUGCUCGACCAUACUAUGUGGGAAACACUCUUGCUGUUGAUAUGCUCAACCUUCAGGAAAAUGAAUGUAAUAUGAAGUUGGAGAGAAGCGAACGAACCAUCAACUUGAAAAGCGAUUUCAGCAUUCUGCAAGCUGGGUGUGGCAAUCUACGACAUACCAUUCUAACCACAGCAUCUCUACCGGAGGAUUUUGAGGGAAAACUUUCCAUCACACUCAAUGAUUUUGACCCAUUCGUUCAAGCAAGGAAUGUUCUUUUUCUUUGUAUGAUGAUUGUAUUCGCAACAAAACCUGGCAUUGCUGAACUUAUAACAACGAUCUGGUAUUCGCUGCACCUUUCUAGCAGUCAGUUCGAUUUUCUGACAGAAUGUCUGACAAAACUGGUUAGUUUCCACAGCGUUGCUCUGGUCAGGGUUACCAAAGGACUUGUGAACAUUACCGAAGAACACAUGGCACAAUUGAGAGAGGUCUGGCGCGGAUGGCUGGGGCUUCAAUGUGAUAAAAGUUGUCCAAAAUACAUUAACCUGAAAAAGACGCGUGACGUAUUUCAUAAUCUUAUGAAUCAUGAUCCUACACAGAAUUUCAACAAAUGGGCAUUCCUUCUGAAAAAACAGGCCCCACAGGAAUGCGUGAAAUCAGUCGAACAGUGGCUUGAGGAUGGAAAUUUUCAAGCAUCCUCUGAAACACUAAAAUACGACAACCCCACUUUGACUGGUUAUAAUUUAUUGCAAGGUAAAAAGUACACGCUCACAGAGGCACUAGAAACCCUGAAAUUGCCAAGGCAGCACGAAUUUUCAUAUUGCAUAUCCGGAAAAUUAUCUGUAUUUGGCGAAUGGGACCAGCUGCUUGUUCAGAAGCACAAUUUGAACAAAUCUUUGAUACUCCGCUUUCACUCUUACAUCACAAGUCUUGUUGACAAAACCAUUUCGUUUUUUAAAGACAAACGUUUGUCAAUUGACGUUCAAGUGUGUAAUUGUAUGGAACUUCCAUCUCGAUUACCACCAAAUGCCCAGUUCGACCGUGUUUUCACCUCCAACGUUGCAGACUAUCAUGGAACGAAAACAGUAUUGAAAACCUUCAAAUCUCUUCUGAAAACCAGCAACAAAAAGGCUGUUCUUGUUACUCAAUAUCAAAUGUGGCCUGCAGCGUUCAACGAAGCCUUAGUUGAGAAAAACUUCGAAAUUACUAUUGAUGGAACAUACAAUCAGUUGUUGCUGGACGCCAGACAUGACACUGGGAGAAAAGAUAUUGAUGAGAUGCUGAAAAUGUAUUCAAAGGUCAAGGGAAAUUCAAUGUUUUGCAUGAUGGACGAAACUUCGGCAGUUGAUCCACAGUCAAUGGUUGACGCAAUGAGUAAGCUGGGCAUUGAUGAGCAUCUUACUCAGGAGUACUUCAACAACAUGAUAUAUUUCAUUAGUUUGUUGCGAGCUGAUCUCAUGGCCUGUGACCAAAGUUUACCUGCAGAGAAAGCUGCCCCAUUUCAAGAAGUAACGAGCAUGGAAGGAUUCAGGAUGAGAGAUUUCAGGCGUGAACUGAAUAGAGUGGUUCCAUUUGCGUAUCGACGUAACGCCAGACCAAUCAACUUACUGAAGGCACUUCUUCGCAUGGUGGAAUGGCGAUUGUCGGAUGAAUAGAAUGACUGCAUGACUCGAGCGCCAUACUUUAUUCCUCUAUAUACAACAUCGAAGAGAAGAACAAAGGACUAUAUGGUUCCAUACAUUAGGCGUGUGUCAGUGGUCUCUAUAUAUAGGACUGGAGAGAGAACUGCGGCGAUUUACUCAUAAAUGUCGUAAAUGAAUGUUUUGGAAAGAUAUAUUGUAGAAUUAGUAUGAAAUGGCAGCAUAUGUUUUGGGGGAAACGUCUUCAAGAAACAGCUAGUUCGUCAAACAUUGCCGGUUUCUCCUUCGUUUGUAAACAAGUAAAGCUUUAAGCGACAUAGAUGAAUCAAUUUGUAGCACUCGAUCACUAGUAGUUUGUCCAUUUGAUUUCUUUCAAGGGCAUUUUUCAGUUCAGUUCAGGACAGUGCUCGAGCAAAAGCUUACUGCAAAAGUACGUUCAAGGCAGCUGUGUAGAGAACUAGACAAAACAAAGAAGGGCGUCCCUCAAAUAUCUACAUGUCCGCCAUGUUCUAUUUCACACGAUAGAUCGAAGUUCUCUCUCCAGUCCUAUAUCGAGCUUAUGGUUUGGGCCUGAUUUCAGAUUUUGUGGGUGUACAUGCAUUCAAUGUUAAUUCAGUGGGUAUAAUUUGUUUGAUUAUUGCAGUAUCAUAUUUAUAUAUUUGAUUAUUUUGAUAAGUUGUCUACUAGGAACUUUAGUCUUAAACCGGAUUACAAAGUUAUAUUCAUUACCAAACGGUCAUAUUGUCCUACAAACCAAACAAAAAUGAAAGUUGUUAGAAAAUGUUCGAGAUUUAAAUGUUUUUAGAGGUCAUUCUAGAACGAACAAUUCCUAGAAGGAAAAAUUCCUAAUGGUAACUUGAAAUAGUCGGUAACCUAAGCAUAACUGGACAAACAGUGAAAGUCUGACUGAUGUAAUGACUUUGGAUCGACCUGGCAAUUCUUGUGAAUCAUUUCCAGCAAUUUCCCACAAUUAAUUUUAAAGUAACCUUGUUUAUUUUGCCGGAUGAUAGGCAGAUAUAUUUCUGUGAAACACAUUCCUAACUGAAAAAUUAUAGAG